rnacentral:rRNA from 1 species
CCUACGGGUGGCAGCAGUGGGGAAUAUUGGGCAAUGGGCGCAAGCCUGACCCAGCAACGCCGCGUGAGUGAAGAAGGCAUUCGGUUUGUAAACUUCUUUUCUCAGGGACGAAGCAAGUGACGGUACCUUAGGAAUAAGCCACGGCUUACUACGUGCCAGCAGCCGCGGUAAUACGUAGGUGGGCAGCGUUAUCCGGAUUUACUGGGUGGAAGGGGGGCGUAGGCGGGAAAGCAAGUCAGAAGUGAAAACCAUGGGCUCAACCUGUGGCCUGCAUUUGAUACUGUUUUGCUUGAGUACUGGAGAGGCAGACGGAAUUCCUAGUGUAGCGGUGAAAUGCGUAGAUAUUAGGAGGAACACCAGUGGCGAAGGCGGUCUACUGGACAGCAACUGACGCUGAGGCGCGAAAGCGUGGGGAGCAAACAGGAUUAGAUACCCCUGUAGUC